rnacentral:rRNA from 1 species
CUUUAUUGGAGAGUUUGAUCCUGGCUCAGGAUGAACGCUGGCGGCGUGCCUAAUACAUGCAAGUCGAGCGAAUGGAUUAAGAGCUUGCUCUUAUGAAGUUAGCGGCGGACGGGUGAGUAACACGUGGGUAACCUACCCAUAAGGCUGGGAUAACUCCGGGAAACCGGGGCUAAUACCGGAUAAUAUUUUGAACUGCAUAGUUCGAAAUUGAAAGGCGGCUUCGGCUGUCACUUAUGGAUGGACCCG